UACAGAGGUCUCAACCGUUGUUCGGAUUCAUUGGGCGUAAAGGGUGCGUAGGCGGUCGCGCAAGUCGGAUGUGAAAUCUCAGGGCUCGACCCUGAAACUGCAUUCGAUACUGCGUGGCUAGAGUGCUGGAGGGGAGACUGGAAUUUACGGUGUAGCAGUGAAAUGCGUAGAUAUCGUAAGGAAGACCAGUGGCGAAGGCGAGUCUCUGGACAGCAACUGACGCUGAGGCACGAAGGCCAGGGGAGCAAACGGG
rnacentral:rRNA from 1 species